UGAGGAAUAUUGGUCAAUGGGCGAGAGCCUGAACCAGCCAAGUCGCGUGGAGGACGACUGCCCUAUGGGUUGUAAACUCCUUUUGCAGGGGGAGAAUAAGGGUCACGCGUGGCCCGAUGACUGUACUCUGCGAAUAAGCAUCGGCUAACUCCGUGCCAGCAGCCGCGGUAAUACGGAGGAUGCGAGCGUUAUCCGGAUUUAUUGGGUUUAAAGGGUGCGUAGGCGGCGUAGUAAGUUAGUGGUCAAAUGUCAGGGCUAAACCUUGGCUUGCCAUUAAAACUGCUUUGCUAGAGUAUGGACGAGGCAGGCGGAACAAGUCAAGUAGCGGUGAAAUGCUUAGAUAUGACUUAGAACUCCGAUAGCGAAGGCAGCUUGCCAGGCCAUAACUGACGCUGAUGCACGAGAGCAUGGGUAGCGAACA
rnacentral:rRNA from 1 species